AUGAACGCUGGCGGCGUGCCUAACACAUGCAAGUCGAACGGAGUUUAGCGCUGAUGAAGCUUCGGCAGAUUCUUGUUAAACUUAGUGGCGGACGGGUGAGUAACGCGUGGGUAACCUGCCUCAUACAGGGGGAUAGCAGUUGGAAACGACUGAUAACACCGCAUAAGCGCACAGGAUCGCAUGAUCUAGUGUGAAAAUAUUUAUAGGUAUGAGAUGGACCCGCGUCUGAUUAGCUAGUUGGUGAGGUAACGGCCCACCAAGGCGACGAUCAGUAGCCGGCCUGAGAGGGCGGACGGCCACAUUGGGACUGAGACACGGCCCAAACUCCUACGGGAGGCAGCAGUGGGGGAUAUUGCACAAUGGGCGAAAGCCUGAUGCAGCGACGCCGCGUGAGUGAAGAAGUAUUUCGGUAUGUAAAGCUCUAUCAGCAGGGAAGAAAGACCUCGUAAGAGGGGAUGACGUAC
rnacentral:rRNA from 1 species